UCCAGGGUAGCUUAGUGGACAUGGCAUCUGCCCCGGUAAGCGGAACACUGUGUGUUCGAUUCCCAUCCCUGGAC
rnacentral:tRNA from 1 species